UGGGGAAUAUUGGACAAUGGGGGCAACCCUGAUCCAGCCAUGCCGCGUGAGGGAAGAAGGCCUUAGGGUUGUAAAGCUCUUUCACUGGCGAAGAUGAUGACGGUAGCCAGAGAAGAAGCCCCGGCUAACUCCGUGCCAGCAGCCGCGGUAAUACGGAGGGGGCAAGCGUUGUUCGGAAUUACUGGGCGUAAAGGGCGCGUAGGCGGCGCGACCAGUCAGGUGUGAAAGCCCCGGGCUCAACCUGGGAACUGCACUUGAUACUGUCGUGCUCGAGACCGGGAGAGGUGAGCGGAAUUCCCAGUGUAGAGGUGAAAUUCGUAGAUAUUGGGAAGAACACCGGUGGCGAAGGCGGCUCACUGGACCGGAUCUGACGCUGAGGCGCGAAAGCGUGGGGAGCAAACAGGAUUAGAUACCCCCGUAGUCC
rnacentral:rRNA from 1 species